rnacentral:rRNA from 1 species
CCUGGCCUACGGGGGGCAGCAGUGGGGAAUAUUGGGCAAUGGGCGCAAGCCUGACCCAGCAACGCCGCGUGAAGGAAGAAGGCUUUCGGGUUGUAAACUUCUUUUAUCAGGGACGAAGCAAGUGACGGUACCUGAUGAAUACGCCACGGCUAACUACGUGCCAGCAGCCGCGGUAAUACGUAGGUGGCAAGCGUUAUCCGGCUUUACUGGGUGUAAAGGGCGUGUAGGCGGGAGUGCAAGUCAGAUGUGACAACUAUGGGCU